UUGUCGACAACUGAUGUCUACCGAAGGCAC
rnacentral:piRNA from 1 species